rnacentral:lncRNA from 1 species
GGCCUCUUAGUUCCUUGGUUUCCGGAGUAAGGCCCGUAAUUGGAUCCUCGGCCCAUUUGGCGUCCUCUAUCUCCGCCUCGGCCUCUAGGUGUUAUUGUUCCCUCUUGGUUAAUUGGUUCAACGACCUGUUCAGGGAAUAAGACUUCUUCUUCUUCUAAGUCUUCUUCAGUAAUACCUCGGUGCCCGAGAUGUGCAAGUUCUAGUGCACCCUGUUGGAGUCCACGGGGUAUACAUACUCGGGAUACUUCUAAUUCUUUGCUAUCUUUUGGUCUACGUAUGUACAGUAACUCAUCUUGUACAUAAAGGGGUUGGCCAGUUCCGGAUUUUUUCAACAUAAGAGUCAACCAUUUCUACUCCUUGAUUGGACACCUGGUGGCCAAGAUAAUCAACUUUGGCCCUAAAAAGAUGACAUUUAGCUAAAUUUACUUUCAUGCCUACAAUGGCGUGUACUUGGAGCACACUUUCUAAAUGGACCAUGUGUUCCUCAAUAUUAUUACUGAACACAAGUAUAUCAUCCAGAUAUGCUAUCGCAUAUCCGGGGGGUAAUCGGUUUAGAGCUUGUUGUACUAGCCUACAAUAAACAGAGGGUGAAUUAGAGAGGCCAAAGGCCAUGCGCUUAUAGCGGUAUGUCCCAAAGGGGCUAAUAAAGGUUGUAUAAUCUCUAGAUUCGGGGCUUAUAACAAGUGAAUGAAAUGCACCUGCACUAUCUAAACUAGAGAAAAUAUUUGCUCCAGAGAGUUUAUGUAAAUUCGACUCUAUAUUAGGAAGCGGAAAAACGUCCUUUUGUGUGGCUUUAUUUAAAAAUCUGUAGUCACAAGCCCAUCGUAGCUUGGUAGAGUUUUUCUUCUUACAAGGGACAAGGGCACUAGCCCAUUGGGACACGCUUGGUUCAAUAAUUCCUGCUGAUAGCCAUUCUUUGAGUUGUUGCUCUAAGUCUUUUUCUUGAAAGGGGUUUAAAGGUCUACAUUUUGCCCUAACUGGCUGGGUUCCAGGCUUAAGUGUUAUGUGAAAUUGUAAUUCAUCUGAUUUACCAAAGUCUUCUGGACCUACUGAGACUGCAUCAAAAUGACGCAUAAAUAUGUCAAUUACCUUCUCUUGUCCUUCUUUAUUGACAACCAUGUCUUUAACUGAGAGUUGUUUCCUUAAAAAUUCUCUUCUCUCUUCUAUUUCUUUAACUGAUAAUUCUUUUUCAGGACGGUGAUCUAUAGAGUUAAUCUCUGUUCUAAUUUGUUCCUUGCUGUGUCCGGGGUAUAUUUUUCCUAAUCGGACACGAGACGGGACGGAUCAUCUUCCUCAUCUGAGGUGUCCGUUGAUAGAUCAUCAAUCUUUGGGUCUACUGCGUCGACCUUGUUAACUUUGCCAGGCUGAUGGUCUGGGUUCGGAAAACUGAAACAUAAGAUAAUUUAGAGAAAAGAAACGGAGCUGUUCUCUUUCUAGUAACUCUUUAGUGUUCUCUUCCUAGUAACUCUUUAGGCUGAAGAAGAUGUCUGAUCCCUUGGAUGGGAUUCCGAGAAUCCCUUGAUAAGAUCGUCCAGAUAAUACCGGGCUUGAUACAGGAG